rnacentral:rRNA from 1 species
GACGAACGCUGGCGGCGUGCUUAACACAUGCAAGUCGAACGGCAAGGCCCUGCUUUUGUGGGGUGCUCGAGUGGCGAACGGGUGAGUAACACGUGAGUAACCUGCCCUUGACUUUGGGAUAACUUCAGGAAACUGGGGCUAAUACCGGAUAGGAUCUCCUGCUGCAUGGUGGGGGUUGGAAAGUUUCGGCGGGUGGGGAUGGACUCGCGGCUUAUCAGCUUGUUGGUGGGGUAGUGGCUUACCAAGGCUUUGACGGGUAGCCGGCCUGAGAGGGUGACCGGCCACAUUGGGACUGAGAUACGGCCCAGACUCCUACGGGAGGCAGCAGUGGGGAAUAUUGCACAAUGGGCGGAAGCCUGAUGCAGCAACGCCGCGUGCGGGAUGACGGCCUUCGGGUUGUAAACCGCUUUCGCCUGUGACGAAGCGUGAGUGACGGUAAUGGGUAAAGAAGCACCGGCUAACUACGUG